rnacentral:rRNA from 1 species
UACGUAGGGGGCAAGCGUUAUCCGGAUUUACUGGGUGUAAAGGGAGCGUAGACGGCACUGCAAGUCUGGAGUGAAAGCCCGGGGCCCAACCCCGGGACUGCUUUGGAAACUGUGUAACUGGAGUACAGGAGGGGCAGGCGGAAUUCCUGGUGUAGCGGUGAAAUGCGUAGAUAUCAGGAGGAACACCAGUGGCGAAGGCGGCUUGCUGGACGAUGACUGACGCUGAGGCACGAAAGCGUGGGGAUCGAACAGG